rnacentral:piRNA from 1 species
GUAGAUUGUGCAUGUGUGAGCACCCAGC